UUAGUGUUCACUCUGUAUGUAGUCCAUAUUGAAAUAUCCAAAACAUCUUAAUUUGUGAAUGGAGGUACUACCUGUUUAUCUCUUGUUGUGUUCUUGCUAGCAGUCAUAUACUGACGUGGCAUAUGCAUAUUUGCAGUUAUAGGAACUUUAAAGGGAUAUGACCUACUGCUGAACUUAGUGCUGGAUGAAGCAGUCGAGUCUGACAGAGAGGGCGAGCUGGAGGAGCUUGAGAAGGGCAUGGAGCCUGCAUGGGAGCGCUUGGUCCACCCACUCGAGCGCAUCGUCGACAGGCUGAACGCCGUUGACCACAUCAAGGCUGUCAAGGACUCGCCCGACCUCUGUGCCGCCGUCGAGGAUGUCCAGGUAGUCUCUUCUUCUGUCACGCCGUCUGUGAUCUGGACGAACGAAGCCGUUGAUUGGUUAGCGCAUCAUCAGAUGAUGAUGCUGUCUCUGUAUUUCUUCUUGCUCCAUGAAUUAAUCCUGAUGAAUGCUCCUUGUUAUGCAAAAGCUGACAAGGACACUAGCUAGAGCGCACUGCCGCUCCUCUUCUUGCAUGCAACAUAAUCUGAAAUUCAUUCAGUUCCACUGUGCGUAAACACUAUAGUGUACAACUAUCAACUUGUUUCACUAUUCAGUUUGUCACCCAUUCAGCUUACUUACUGGGGCAUCUUUCUUGUAAGAGUUUACUUGAUAGUAAAAUAUGUUAGAAGAAUCUACCA